UCGAGGGGUAACAGGGAGCUUGCUCCGCUGACGACCGGCGCACGGGUGCGCAACGCGUAUGCAAUCUACCUCUUACUAAGGGAUAGCCCAGAGAAAUUUGGAUUAAUAUCUUAUGUGAUAUUAGACCGGCAUCGGUUUAAUAUUAAAGGUUACGGUAAGAGAUGAGCAUGCGUCUCAUUAGUUAGUUGGUAAGGUAACGGCUUACCAAGACUUCGAUGAGUAGGGGUCCUGAGAGGGAGAUCCCCCACACUGGUACUGAGACACGGACCAGACUCCUACGGGAGGCAGCAGUGAGGAAUAUUGGACAAUGGACGGAAGUCUGAUCCAGCCAUGCCGCGUGUAGGAAGACUGCCCUAUGGGUUGUAAACUACUUUUAUACAGGAAGAAUAAGAUCUACGUGUAGAUUGAUGACGGUACUGUAAGAAUAAGGACCGGCUAACUCCGUGCCAGCAGCCGCGGUAAUACGGAGGGUCCGAGCGUUAUCCGGAAUUAUUGGGUUUAAAGGGUCCGUAGGCGGGCUGUUAAGUCAGAGGUGAAAUGCUGCGGCUCAACCGUAUGCACUGCCUUUGAUACUGGCGGUCUUGAGUUAUAGUGAAGUGGCUAGAAUAAGUAGUGUAGCGGUGAAAUGCAUAGAUAUUACUUAGAAUACCGAUUGCGAAGGCAGGUCACUAACUAUACACUGACGCUGAUGGACGAAAGCGUGGGUAGCGAACAG
rnacentral:rRNA from 1 species